AUUGAACGCUGGCGGCAUGCCUUACACAUGCAAGUCGAACGGCAGCACGGGCUUCGGUCUGGUGGCGAGUGGCGAACGGGUGAGUAAUGUAUCGGAACGUACCCUUCAGUGGGGGAUAACUAUCCGAAAGGAUAGCUAAUACCGCAUAUUCUCUGAGGAGGAAAGCGGGGGAUCGCAAGACCUCGCGCUGAUGGAGCGGCCGAUAUCAGAUUAGCUAGUUGGUGGGGUAAAGGCCUACCAAGGCGACGAGCUGUAGCGGGUCUGAGAGGAUGACCCGCCACACUGGGGCUGAGACACGGCCCAGACUCCUACGGGAGGCAGCAGUGGGGAAUUGUGGACAAUGGGGGCAACCCUGAUCCAGCCAUGCCGCGUGAGUGAAGAAGGCCUUCGGGUUGUAAAGCUCUUUCGGCCGGGAAGAAAUCGCGUGAGUUAAUACCUUGCGUGGAUGACGGUACCGGAAUAAGAAGCACCGGCUAACUACGUGCCAGCAGCCGCAGUAAGAC
rnacentral:rRNA from 1 species